ACAGGCAGGGGACAUGCCAUGAUGAGGAAGGUGGUUUUCCCGGGGUGAGGCUGACCCAUUGCACUCCAGAUGCGCUGACCUCUGUGAUUUCCCCAAAUGUGGGAAACUCAACUGCAUAAUUUCUGGUAGUGGGGGACUGCAUUUAUGCUGUACCCUC